AAUCAACGCUGGCGGCGUGCCUAACACAUGCAAGUCGAACGAUUAAAGCCCUUUCGGGGGUGUAUAGAGUGGCGUACGGGUGAGUAACACGUGGGUAAGUCUACCUUUGGGUGGGGAAUAACUCAGGGAAACUUGUAGCUAAUACCGCAUAAUGCAGUGGCUCGACAUCGAGACAGUUGUUAAAGAUUUAUCGCCUGAAGAGGAGCCUGCG
rnacentral:rRNA from 1 species